rnacentral:rRNA from 1 species
UGGUGGAGUGAUUUGUCUGGUUAAUUCCGUUAACGAACGAGACCUCAGCCUGCUAAUUAGGUUAGUCAGAGGCAACUCUGGUCUGAACUUCUUAGAGGGACUAUCGGAUAUUACCCGAUGGAAGUGUGAGGCAAUAACA